rnacentral:rRNA from 1 species
GACGAACGCUGGCGGCGUGCUUAACACAUGCAAGUCGAACGGAAAGGCCCUGCUUUUGUGGGGUGCUCGAGUGGCGAACGGGUGAGUAACACGUGAGUAACCUGCCCUUGACUUUGGGAUAACUUCAGGAAACUGGGGCUAAUACCGGAUAGGAGCUCCUGCUGCAUGGUGGGGGUUGGAAAGUUUCGGCGGUUGGGGAUGGACUCGCGGCUUAUCAGCUUGUUGGUGGGGUAGUGGCUUACCAAGGCUUUGACGGGUAGCCGGCCUGAGAGGGUGACCGGCCACAGUGUGGCAGAGAUACGGCGCAGUGUCGGACGGGAGGCAGCAGGGGGACAUAGGACACAAGGGGCGGAGGACGGGUGGCGACGCGCGGCGGGCGGGAGGAGUGGCGGCGGGUUGUACGCCGCUUCCGCGUGGGCAGAAGGGUGGGGAACGGUAGGGAGAACAGAAGCACAGGUAAAGUACGCGCCAGGAGGCGCGGUAAUAAAGAAAAGAGCACAGGCCUGAUC